ACACGUGGUAUCCUGUCUGAAUAUGGGGGGACCAUCCUCCAAGGCUAAAUACUCCUGACUGACCGAUAGUGAACCAGUACCGUGAGGGAAAGGCGAAAAGAACCCCGGCGAGGGGAGUGAAAAAGAACCUGAAACCGUGUACGUACAAGCAGUGGGAGCCCCACCACCAAAGCAUUUGCUGUACCGCGUUGACGGAGCGAAGCGACGUCAAACCGAUAAAACAGCAGUGUAAAGUGAGCCGCAGGGCGCUUUGCGCGACAGCGCAAAGGCAGGCGGUUUCGCGUAGCGAAAGCGAAUGCUUUGGGGUGGGGUGACUGCGUACCUUUUGUAUAAUGGGUCAGCGACUUAUAUUCUGUAGCAAGGUUAACCGAAUAGGGGAGCCGGAGGGAAACCGAGUCUUAAUUGGGCGUUAAGUUGCAGGGUAUAGACCCGAAACCCGGUGAUCUAGCCAUGGGCAGGUUGAAGGUUGGGUAACACUAACUGGAGGACCGAACCGACUAAUG
rnacentral:rRNA from 1 species